rnacentral:rRNA from 1 species
UACGAAGGGGGGCGAGCGUUGUUCGGAAUUACUGGGCGUAAAGGGCGCGUAGGCGGCCGAUCAAGUCAGAUGUGAAAGUCCUGGGCUUAACCUGGGGACUGCAUUUGAUACUGAUUGGCUUGAAUGCAGGAGAGGAUAGCGGAAUUCCCAGUGUAGAGGUGAAAUGCGCAGAUAUCGGGAGGAACACCAAUGGCGAAGGCAGCUCGCUGGGACGGUACUGACGCUGAGGCGCGAAAGCGUGGGGAGCAAACAGG